rnacentral:rRNA from 1 species
GACGAACGCUGGCGGCGUGCUUAACACAUGCAAGUCGAACGAAGUGGCGAACGGGUGAGUAUUACGUGGGUAACCUGCCCUCCUUUUUGGGAUACGCCUUGGAAACGGGGUAUAAUUCCCACUUCAGGUGGAGUGGCUGUCGGCCUAUCAGCUUGUUGGUGGGGUGAUGGCCUACCAAGGCGGUGACGGGUAGCUGGCCUGAGAGGGUGACCUGCCACAGUGGGACUGAGAUACGGCCCAGACUCCUACGGGGGGCAGCAGUGGGGGCGAUUGCACAAUGGGCGAAAGCGUGAUGCAGCGACGACGCGUGGGGGAUGAAGGCUUUAGGGUUGUAAACCUCGGUCGCUAGCGAACGGGUAGGUGGAGAAGAAGCGCCGGCUAACUACGUGCCAGCAGCCGCGGUAAUAC